ACACAAAAAUGCACAUACUGUGAGCUCGAUGAGUAGGGCGGGACACGUGGUAUCCUGUCUGAAUAUGGGGGGACCAUCCUCCAAGGCUAAAUACUCCUGACUGACCGAUAGUGAACCAGUACCGUGAGGGAAAGGCGAAAAGAACCCCGGCGAGGGGAGUGAAAAAGAACCUGAAACCGUGUACGUACAAGCAGUGGGAGCACGCUUAGGCGUGUGACUGCGUACCUUUUGUAUAAUGGGUCAGCGACUUAUAUUCUGUAGCAAGGUUAACCGAAUAGGGGAGCCGAAGGGAAACCGAGUCUUAACUGGGCGUUAAGUUGCAGGGUAUAGACCCGAAACCCGGUGAUCUAGCCAUGGGCAGGUUGAAGGUUGGGUAACACUAACUGGAGGACCGAACCGACUAAUGUUGAAAAAUUAGCGGAUGACUUGUGGCUGGGGGUGAAAGGCCAAUCAAACCGGGAGAUAGCUGGUUCUCCCCGAAAGCUAUUUAGGUAGCGCCUCGUGAAUUCAUCUCCGGGGGUAGAGCACUGUUUCGGCAAGGGGGUCAUCCCGACUUACCAACCCGAUGCAAACUGCGAAUACCGGAGAAUGUUAUCACGGGAGACACACGGCGGGUGCUAACGUCCGUCGUGAAGAGGGAAACAACCCAGACCGCCAGCUAAGGUCCCAAAGUCAUGGUUAAGUGGGAAACGAUGUGGGAAGGCCCAGACAGCCAGGAUGUUGGCUUAGAAGCAGCCAUCAUUUAAAGAAAGCGUAAUAGCUCACUGGUCGAGUCGGCCUGCGCGGAAGAUGUAACGGGGCUAAACCAUGCACCGAAGCUGCGGCAGCGACGCUGAUGCGUUGUUGGGUAGGGGAGCGUUCUGUAAGCCUG
rnacentral:rRNA from 1 species